rnacentral:rRNA from 1 species
GAUGAACGCUAGCUACAGGCUUAACACAUGCAAGCCGAGGGGCAGCGGGGCGCAGCAAUGCGCUGCCGGCGACCGGCGCACGGGUGCGUAACGCGUAUGCAACCUGCCCGCGACAGGGGAUAACCGGCGGAAACGCCGACUAAUACCCCGUAACGCACGGGGCCGCAUGGUCCUGUGCUGAAAGCCUUGGUGGUCGCGGAUGGGCAUGCGUGGCAUUAGGUAGUUGGCGGGGCAACGGCCCACCAAGCCAUCGAUGCCUAGGGGAGCUGAGAGGCUAAUCCCCCACACUGGUACUGAGACACGGACCAGACUCC